UGCAAUUUUUUUUUUUUUUUUUUUUUUUUUUUUUGCAUCCAAGUGGACUUUGAACGUGAACUAAAAAAUGACCUGGAGUGUCACAAUGAAGCUUACUUGCUACAGAGUACUUCUGCUGUAAAUCCUGAAAUGAAAAUAGUGGGCAAGAAACAUCACAGAAUAUUAGAAUUUUAAUUAAUACUCAAUCAAUGGAGGUGAAAGUUGAACAGAUGUAAAAUAGCAAAUGAAACACAGGGACCAACCAUGGCAAGGUUAAAAUCAAUGAGGUAACCUUUGUUCUGUUUUCUAGAGAAUAGGAAGUUACCAGGCUUUACGUCUCUGUGCAUAACCCCCUAAGAGUGUCAAAGAGAAACUGGUUAGACAUAUACAGUAGUCUAUAAAAUUUUUCAUUUCCUUUCCAUUCACGCACAGCAAUAUCUCACCUGCUUAUGCAGAUAUGCCAAAGCCCUAAACAAGCAGAAACCAUACCACUGUAGCCGAACUAUAUCAAUUUCUUUCUUCAGAACCUACAUAUUAACAUAAGAUAAAAACGUUUUUUAAUAGAACUUAGUAAAAAAAAUGAGUUUAGAUCAUACUUCUUCCAAAACUAAAAUUAAUCAUGUGAAACUACAAAGCAGUUUUUACGUUUACUUUCCAUAUUAUGAAGUAGCUGAAAUUCACAAUAGUAACGUCAGAAGUAUUUCAAAAUAUAUUAAAUUUGAAUUGCAGAGAAAUUACCUCAGGUCUGUCAUGUUCGACAUGUUCCAGAAUUAAGCACUCGCUGUUGCCACUACUAAUAGACCCUUCAUACUUGAUUAUGAAGUUCCUUCCCCUGCAUGAAAAGAUAUAUAUCAAUACCAUAUUGCAACUUGUAAACGCUUACGUGAACCAAAGAGAAUGUUAUAAUAUUUCUUCCUAAUAUACAUACCCAAACCGCUCGAGCAUUUUUAGCUCAUUGUUUACAUUGUGUCUGUGAGCAUUGACAUGGGGACCUGAAAAUGUAAGUAUAAAACAUUUGUCAUAUAUUUUCCACUUUUCAGUAAAGAAAAGUCUUGUUUCCUUAGCAAAAGAGUUGAAUUAAAAUUUAUCAAAUAAAAAUCUAACUUCAGAAUAAAUGUAGCAUUAAGAAUGUGACAAUAAUAGAUUGAAAAAACACGUGACAAUAAAAUUUUAGUUUUUUUUACCAUAAAAUGGUCGCAUGCCCCUGUGGAAGAUUGUUGUUCCUAUAUGGAAAACCAUCCACUAAAAAACUACCAAAACGUAAAUUACCUCUGUCAAACUCAACAUUUGUUCAAUCCAGUAAAAACAAUAGAGGAUCUAACCUCUUGACUUGCAGACUUGUAAGCAACUACACUAUUUGAAUCGUUACUUAGGGGACAGCACCAAAUUAGAGAGUAGAAUGUUACUCAACUAAAAGGGUCCAAAAGACCUCAAUUCUGGUGCAAACUAAAUAUCUGUAUUCAUUUUAAGUUACAUCCACAUAGUUGAAAUUUUUCCAGCUUCCAAUGGACUUCUUGACAAGAGAGAAACAAAAGAACAUUCAAUAUGAAGAAACACUACAAUUUUUUGUUUGAUUUUAUUUUGUACACAAGUAGCCACAUGUUACAAGUAUGUAUUUUCUAACUACUUUCUCAGUAACACUUGUUAGAGGUGAUUUGUUAACCUUCAUUAGCCUUUAGUACAUUUCAUAAUACUCAUGAAAUAUCUGUUUCCUUUCCAAAAAAUGUGUGUGUAUGCACCCGCACAAGUUAGACCGUUGAAAAACUGAUUAAAAGAGUAGCAUAAAAGUAAACCAGGUUUACAUUUGAUAGCUAUCCGUUUGCCAUCUUUUUUUCUCCGAGCCCUGUAAACAGUUCCAUAGCCACCUGAAUAUUUUUGAACAUCAUUAGUACAAAUGGAAAUGAGAAAAAAUAGGAAUCUGCUACUCAUAUAUGAGAAAGGAAGUUGCUUACCAGAACCUUCUUCUUCCUCAACAAUGAAAGACUCAAACUGAGGAAAUGAUGUUUUCUCCAACUGUUUCAAAAGAUCAAUAAUUAGGCUAUUUUUUUUCCACUUCAAACCACAAAUACCCCAUACAUUUAGCUCAAGCAUCCAUUAUCACUCAAGAACCUCUAAAAUAAAAAUAGAUAGCUUCAAAGGUUGCAAAACCGAGAGUAAGAUAAACUUACCUUCAUAGAAGAACUGGUAGGGUCCAAAGGAUUUUCCUUAAUGUGCACACUACCAUUUGAAUUCUUCUUGAACUUCUGCACCUUAGACAUCAGUUUAUGAAAAUUGAUAUUUCGGUUUUGCUGCUUGACAGAUUGGGAAACCUUCUUAUUGACUGCAGACUCCAUGAGAAUUUCCUCAGGAGAUAGAGUACAUAUUUGUGAUCCAUCUACUUCCCCCAAGGUCUUGACAUGUGGCUCCUCAUUACAUAGUUGUUCAGCUAUGGAACAGGGAAUAUGAGUUUCUUCCUUCCUGAAUAUAUCAUCUCCAACCAUGCUUGAUAUACUUACUUCCUUUUUCAAGUCUAGGAAGUUUCUUUCUGCUUCACCAAUGACUGUGUGCCCUUCCAAAUGAACAAGAUGGUUCUCUGUUGUUUUAGUGUACUCCAAGCAAUUCUGCAUUUCACAGAUCUUAUUUUUCUCAUCUUCUACCUUCCAUUCCAAAAUAUUAGAAAGAUACCUAGUGCAAAUCCCUUUGUUGACCUCGAGCGGUUGAACAUAAGGUUGUAUAUUGUAGUUUUUGUCAUAAAAAAGGGCGUUUGUGGAGCUACACGAUGCACCCAAAGAAAGAUCAAAGUUAUAUGACAUUCCUCUGUCUGUGUGCAUUAAAUUAGGCAUACUUGAGCGUUUUUGGACUUCGUGCAUGUGAUGAUCAUAGGCAUUCUCACUUAAAGGGCCAACAUUAUCUUUAACGAUAGUUUUACUUGCUUGAGCAGCAAUACCAGCUCUCAUUUCUCGAGCAUGACACAUCAAAAAUUUUGGAGAAUCAGCAUAACUAAGAGAGUCGGGCACUUCAUCAACUUUUACAUCCAAAUGUCCCAUUUCAAGUUUUUCAAAAGGCAAAUCAACUGUCAGCGAAUUUAAACUGGUGAGAGUCACAUAGUCAGCAGGUACCUUUAUGCAGAGAAACAAAAAAAGAGUCAGCUGUGUUUUGCAUUUAACAAACUAAAAGUUACUAGCUGAAAUCAAGCAUGACAAAGUUAUUAAGUUGUAGAACAUAAAGCAACAUAAAAAUAAAUUAAUUAAAGACCAGAUUUAACAGAAAAAUAUGAGACUUAUUAAACUAUUGCAUUAUCAUGUGACCAUAGAAGAUUGAAAUUGGAAGCAAUUCCAAGACAACAAGCUCAAUAUAAAUAAAAUUUACUUUUGUUUCAAACAUAAAAGUCAUCAUUUCAAUAAAGAAAUCGAAUGUUCAUUAUCAGAAGAAAAAUAAGAAAUAAUGAUCGGAAAUAUGGUCAUCAACCAGAUUGAACUUUUUGAAUUUGUGAAUGAAACUAUGACAAGUACAAAAUAGUCCAUUCAAGAGCGUAGCUAAGAAGGAAUUUCUUAAUGAAUCAUAAAAAUGUUAUAGUCUCAUAAUUACAAAAGAGAGCAUCUCGAUCCGUCAGUACAAUAAUGCAUAUAAACAAUAGGGGCCAUCCAAAUUCUCAGAGGAUACACAUAAAAAACAGAACUGGAAAAAAAAUUGAAAGAGCGAAUUUGAAAAGGUACCUUAGCAAAAUUAUGAGAAACCCUCCUAGUUAUUGGAAUACAACUUUCAUUCCCUACAACAGCUAUUAAUCAUCUUUAGUCGAACUAUGAAUAAAGUAAAUAAAAUAAUAAAUCAGUAAAACACUGCUGGAAAUAGCAACUAGAGAAGAGAAAAACAAACCCUAAACUCAUACCAAUUCCAGAAGUCGAAGUUAAAAUCUUUUUCCCAUAAAAAGGUCCUUCAGAAUCCAAUACUGAUCUUCUUCGUUUCCGCGAGUACGUUUUAACAUCCCUACCGCAGAACCUAUUCGAGUCUAUAACUCCAAAACCCCGUCUAGAAAAAUCCCAUCCACUACUAGCCUUCGAAAAAUACCGCCCCAUAGCAGAGAUCGCAACAAUAGAAAUGUAAACAAGAGCAUCAUCCCCCAAACAGAUAGGAGAAUCAGGAAUUUCACACAGAUACCGAACCAUACAAGCCGUAGCACUGAACAAUUCGCAUCUCGCAGCAAGUUCUUCCAGAGAAGCAGGACGACCAAUAUCCAACAAUAUCGUGAACAAAUACCAAGCUUUCUGCAGCUCAACAGUAGUAUGAAGACUAUACUCACUCGGAUCAAAACGAAAAUAAUCAGCCAUUAGUUGUGAAGAAUAAGAUCAAUCACACAACAUACCGAAGUCCCCAAAUCUCAUAUCUCAUAUCUAAACCUCAGAUCUGGAAAAAGAUGAAGAAAAAAGAGAAUGAGAUUAGGGCUAGAGAGAAUGGGAAGAGAGUGAAGUGAAGCGAAGCGAUAGGAGCGGGAAAUGGUGAAUGUGAAGAAAAUUUGGGAGUUGGAAGGGAAUUCCCGCCUUUUUUGUUUGGCUAAUGGAAUUUACCAAAACACCAUUCCCGAUAAAUAAAAAUAGAUUAAAUAAUGCUAACACGUUGGGGCAAAUUUACCUUUUUACUCUCGGAAUUUUACACCUUUAUUCAUCUCUUAAAUUUCAAAAUGUAUUUUCCUUAGUUCUUGAAAUCUUUUUAUUAUUAUUAUUAUUUUGCAAUAUAUGAUUUUAAUAUCUGAGUUUGGAAUUUGAUUUUCUUCAUUUCAAAAUAUGAUAUAGUUUUGAUUUUUUAAUCACUGAUAAAUUUUAAUUAAAAUUUAAUAACGAAGAAAUUUAUUCAAAAAUAUAAAACUUUGAUAAACUAAUUACACAAAAAUACCAAAAAAAAACAAGUUUUUUUUUCAAUGUUAUAUUUUUGACAAAAGUUAUAUGUUAUUGUGUAUUAACUAUAAUUAUGAAAUUACAUUAAUUUACUAAUGAUAAGAAAAAUAGUGAAACUUAAUUUAUUACAACUCUAAUAUAUUAACUACAUUAAAUUAAUUAAUAAUAGUUAGUGAAAAAUGGCUGUUGAAUAUAUUUUCAAAAAUUAUGAUGUUUCUUAAAUAAAGAAAGUGAAAAUGUGAUUUAAAGAAAAUGAUUUUAAAAUAACAAAAACUUUUCAAAAUAUUCUAAAGAUAGACAAUUAUUCUGAUUUAUUUAACAAUUUACUCAAUUAAAGUUGAGAGGCUAACAAAACAAUUUGCAAUGAACAAAUUAAAUUUUGGAAAUAGAGAAUUAUGGUAUAUAAGCUAAAAUGUCAUAAAUAUUUUGAUCUGGCAAGUCAGUUGGGAAAAAACACAUAACGAAAAAGUGUGACAAAGGAAAAAUACAUGGCUUUGACAAUUUACAUUCAAACAAAUUAAGCUUUUUAACCUCUUUUUCUUUUAAUACAUUAGGAAAGAAAAACUCUAAUUAUUCUACUCAACUUCUUGCCAUUCCCCCAGAUCAAAGAGACAGCCCCCAAAACCGUAUACACAGUUUUGAGUGCAAUUUAUUCAGAAUAUUCAUUUUGCACCUAAGGUUGGGAACUGCCCCGGAUCCUCAAUAGAUGGGGCUGCAACGUUGCUGCUCAUUGAGCUGCCAACGUAACCUCCUCCCCUUGAACCACGGCCCCGGCCUCUACCCCGACCACCUGGAGUGUAGUGUUUCUCUCCUUCGGCUGGCUUCAAGAACUCAUUGAUACUCACGGACUAUGAAAAUAGAAGAAAGAAAACAACAGAAAAAUCAGUACUUCGUUGAUCAUUAAAUUAUUUGAGUAUGAGCAGAAUUUAGGUUACAAUACGGAAGUGUUGUUUUAAAACCUUCAGUUCAUAAUCGAACUUGUUUCUUGGUUGUAGCUCGUAUAUUUUUCAGGCAUUUUAGGAGCAUGAUUUUGGCUUCCUAAGCCAAUCGCCAAAACCAAGUUUCCUUGAAGGACCCAACACCCAUUCUCCUUAGAACUCAAAGACACGAUUGAAAAACCUAGAGUUAUCUGAGUUAGGAUGUUGAACUGACGGCCAAAACUCCCUCUCUUUUAAGCUUUGAUCCAAACAGGAGAGUGUAUCCACAGAACACAAGUAAAUUAGACGAAGUAUGCACACUUCGAUUUCGUCAUUCAAUUGGUGACGAAUUGAAGCAGCAAAAGGCAUCACAAUAGAACAUUUUUCUUCGUUUGAGAACUAAACUUUAAAAACCUAUGUAAUGGACAGGAAAUCAUGUAAUACACAAGAGGAAAUACCUUCUUAGUUCUUUCCUCCUUAUCUGCAGUUUCUUUUCGCUUAUCCUUGUCAGAUCCCUACAAAUGGUGAAAUGAGAUUCAGCGGCCAUGUCCAAGACCAUACCAAUAUAUCAAGGAGCCAAUGUUCAUCCAUCAGAACAAUAUCAAUAUAUAAUUGCAACUCCAAAGGAAGACUAAAUAGAUGUACCAAUUUAAUAAAGAUGUCCUGGUUUUCCUUUUUGCUUGAUAGCUGUUGCAAGGAUGCAAAUUCUUUGGGAUCCACUUUCCUCUCUUCAGUUUUCAGUGCCAAAAGAGACUUCCUUUUCUCAUCCAGUAAUUUUUCGUACUCCUCCAGAGUCAUUUCCUGUAUCAAGGAAAAAGAAACAGUACACGGCAGAUUCAAAAUCAUGUUGAACAUAGAGCGAAGCUCAUAAUACUAACCCACCAGUGUAUUACUACUACUCCGGCUAUCAAUGCCCAUUCAAUUUGUUUGAUAAGCAAGCAAAACUACAAAUUAAUUUUCAGUUAACAAGAAAAACAAAUGGCAAGUGAAAUGGUAGGCUGCAGUUUAAGUGAAGUCUACCAAAAAAACCUGACAACACAAACCUUGUCUUCUGGUUCUUUUUCCUCUGAUUCUUUUGCAGGGUUCUCUGUGUUGACACCUGCAGUAUCAUCCUCAUGAACGGGCUUCUCAUCACCUAACUUCUGAGAUUCAUUAGCUUCCUCAGCAACCCUGUAUGCAAAACAAGCUAGCCUCUUAGCAUACAAGAGUUCGAACAUGCAUACAACUUCCAGUAACAUCUGCCUCCCAGCCUUCCCCACCCCAGCCAAACAUUAUAGGAGAAAAGAAAAGAACCAGGCCACACAUACAGAAACAUCCAAAACAUAGGGAUGUACUUACUCAGGGAAUUCCUCAGCCGACCUUCCCCAGUUCCCACGCCCAGACCCUUCACGCUUGAAUUCAUUUCUGGGUAUAAAACAGGCUGAAGAUGUCAAAACAGAGUAGAAGAUAUAGAUGCAUAGCGUAAGCUGAUGUUUUCUUGAAAAAAGAACUCACCCACGGCCAGUUCCGCUGUGCCGUUCAAAUGCACCACGAGGGCGUUCACCAUCAGCAGUAUCUCCAUUAUAAAAACCACCACGACGGCCACCGCGACCACGAGGUCCACCAUAUCCACCACGUUUUUCUGUCGUCCUUCCAGUUUCUCCAUCUUCAGGGUUACUACUAAAUGAGUACUCAUUGUUGGGAGACUCGCGAUUAAAACCACCACUGCCACGUCCUCGUCCAUAUCCACGUCCACCACGGCCACUACUACGACCUCCACGACCACCUUCAUUCUUUGCUUCCCUUACUACUCAAAGUAUUAAAAAAGAUAAUUAAAAAAAAAUCCUUUCAGAUACCCAAUGGAUAAUUGAUAACAAUUGGACAGGAAUCAAGACACUCAUAAGAACCCAAUAGAAUAAGGAAGACUCUGUUGAUAAACAAUAGCGUAAUAUGGGCAAUAUGAUACAAGACAAAGCUAUGUUCAAAAUGGAAUAAAAAAUUGACUGCAGACUACCAAGUUCUAUAUUAAGAACCAGGAAUAUUUAAAAAUACAAUACAGAGACAAACCAGUUCUUUACAACAGCCCACGAUUUGGGUAUACAUGCAAAUAUUUGUUCACACAGUCCUACAAUUUUUUCCUCCAAAACAUGACUUCUUUAGAAAAAAAUGGAAAUUUCCAUCAAGAAAUCUACGAAGAAAUCAAAUAUAUCAAUUCCUCUUCAAGGUAAAUAUUGAAAACAAGAACCUUUCAUCAAGAAAUAAUACAAAAGAACACAUAUCAAGAGCCAACCAAAACAUUUCAAUUGAACUUGUGCAUAAAUUAUACCAAUUGGAUAUCGUCAAUAUAUAUAUAUAAUAUAUAGCAAUUGCAUAGUUCCUUUAUGAAUCUUAGUGGUUUCUUGUCCUUUGAACAUAUCUCAAGCCUUAAAAUCAAUAGAGUGCAAAACCUCCAUCAUUGAUCUAAAUUGUGAGCCUUCUAAGUUUGUCCUCUUGGGUCUAAUUUUGCUCAAAAGUGAGGUGAGUAAGCUUCCCUGUUCCCACCUUGGACUUCCCUUGGGGCCGGGGUAAUUGUAAUCAAAAUAAAUAGUUUGCCUUCUUGGGACCUACUGAAAAUUCAAAAACCACAGAGAAAUGCCUUUCUUAGGGGGAAAGCUGACAUCAAUCCAAUUAGUGUUGAGUAGGAUCCCAAUCUACCUUCCUUGCAUGCUUAGAAUGCUUGUCUCAAUCAGUAAGAAAAAUGAAAGAUUCAUAAGAAACAUCUCUUGUGGGAAGGAGUAAAUAAGGGUGGGGGAGGUUGUGUCAAAAUUAGUUGAUCUAGAGGGUUUAGGCAUUGGCAACCUGAGUUUGCAUAAUGAGACUCGUUAGCAAAAUGGUUGACAUUUUUUCAUGGAGCUGAAAGUCUGUAACACAUGCAUAGCCUUCUGAGCAACUAUGGACCAUAGCCUUCUAGGUGGAGUUCAAGUUGUAGUUUUAAAUAUUCUAGCGAACACCACCAGACUGUUAUUGCUUCGAGCUUUCCUUUGCUAAUUGUUAUCCCAGUUCAAACUAUUUAGUCUACUUGAUAUUUUAGGAUACUUGGGAGGGGGGAAAACCCAUUUCCACUCACUAUUCCUUUUUUCAUUUUUUUUUUAGGAAAAGAAAAAGUGAAAGUAAUGUCUAGCAGUUCUCCAUGAUAGCUUGGAAUAGUGAGCAUGCAGGACCAUCUACCAAGGCACUCAUCUUGAUCUUACUGUUGCAACUGUAAUGGACUAAUGGCAUUCUUUGCCGGAAGUUAGAGGAGAACCUCAACCAUCUCAUGUUGGAUUGCCCCUGUUGAACAGUUCUUUCUCAAAAAAAAUUGCUUUGAUUUGGCUCAUGUUUGGGGUGACCAAGGAAAUGCUUAUGAACCCCCCCUCCUUGUUGUGAAUCGUGAUAAAUGAAUAGUUAUGUGGCAGUAGCUGGCUAGCUAUUUUUGCCAUUUUAUGAAGUACUUGGUUGGAAAGGAACAAUAGGGAGUUGGUUAUAACUCUUCAUUAUGAACAUCCGUUAAUCAGGCUUUUGUGAUUACUAACUUGGUCUCAUUCUUCGAUUGGGUCCUUUCUCACUAUUAGGACUGGGAACUCUUUUUGCAGGGUUUUUGGUAUGCCCUAAUACAUUCUUCAUAUUUCUCAACGAAAGCUAGGUUCUUUUUUAAAAGACUUGUACAUAAGUUAUCAAAAUAUUCAAAUUUUUUCAAUUGCCACACACAAAGGAAAAAUGGCAUAAUAAGAAUAAAGAAAAUACUAUCUAAACAAUGUACAGACAAAAUUCAUAACCUAGUACGUUAUAAAAUCACAACAUUGCUGACUGACACUCGAAUUUCUUCCAAAAAAAAUUUUAAAAAAUAUUGAUAACUCAAUUCCAUUUAUGUUCCAAACAUACAAACCAUUGAAUAUUAUCUGAAUUCCAAAUAAAUUUGGAAUGCAGAGCCUUGGAUUGUAGGAAUACACAAUAAAUCCCAGCCGGGUAUCGCAAAAAGUAAUUAUAUAGCCUACAAAAUUUUGACUGAAUUAAAAAUCACUCAUUCCUACGUGUAUGUAUAUAUCUAACAUCACAAAGAAAGACUUCGCACUCUCCCAUAGGCGCAAACAAUGUAACCAUGCAAACAAGCAGACAAAAAACUUUAACAAAACAACAACAAAAAUCACGGAAUGCAAAACCAAUCAACCUAGACAGGAAAACAAAAGGAAGAAAACUAUACAUCAAAAUCGAACUCUGAUAUUUACACAAUCAAUAACCUCCAAUUCAAAAAAAAAAAAAAAAAAAAAAAGAGAAAGAAACUAACCAGCCUGAGCAGGCGGAAGAGGCUUGGAAGGAAGAUUAGCAGGUUUACUCAAUUUAGCUGCCGCAGCCGCCUGUUGUUUAGCCUGAGGAUGAUCAGAACCUUUCUUAGGCGCCGCCGCAGCCUGCUUGACAGCCAUUAGCUGCGAUGGGUCCUCAGCAUCGUCAUCACCCAACAAAUCAAAUGGAUUUGUGGUCGCCAUUUCCGAACUAUAUUAAAACCAAUACCGGAAAAGUUGAAAAGAAAUUGCACUCCGUGAAAGGCGACCACGAAAUCCUACCUUAACAACAAGAACUCCAUGAUGAAUCUAUGAAGAAUAUCUGUAAAAAGAGAGAGGAGAAAAGAAAAAAAGAUCGAAUCGAAAAGCGGUAGAAACUGGGAGAAAACCCUAGCCGCAAUGGCCGAGUGAGUGUAAGUGCAAACGAAGAGCCAACUCGAUAGAUAAACGCAUAUAGUUAUUUUGCGUUGUUCGACCGUUUCUAUAUAUCCUCCCUCGUGCGGUAUCGCAACAAUAUACUAUAACUUGGGGAAUUAUCAAAAAUAGGAUAAUUUGGAAGGAUGUAAAGAGUUUUGAGAUGAAUUUUAAAAAAGAUGACUUUUAGGACAAAUUAGUUGGAAAAAGUCUAUAUUACCCUCAAGUUAAAAAAUAUCCUAAAAUCAAUUUAUGAAUCCUCUCUUCUCCUUCUCCCUCCGUUUUUUCACUUUCUAAAAAUGUUUCAUUUUUCUCUCAUCCCUCCCUCUGGUGUUCCAUUUUCCCUCAUUUUCACGAAAUUUCCUUUUUCUUCCUUUUCCAUUCUUUAAUUCGUUUUCUUGAAAUUUCUUUCUGAAGCUCUUCCCAUGGUCUCCCACCGGCCUUUGAAAACCAUUUUCUCCAUUUUCUCACUUCCAAAAAGAAUAUUUCAUUUUUCUCUCAUCUCUCUCCAUUUUCAUACAUUGUGGGAUAAAUUGGCCUUCCUAAUUCUAAGAGCAUGAAAAUGUUGCUCUCACCUGCAUUGUUGUACAUUAUAUAAAAGUUCUGCACACUUUACAAUUUUCCAAGAUAAUGAAAUAAAAAUUGCAUACCAAAAAACAAAAAUGGUAUUCAUUCCAUUAUAUAAAACUAUUUAUGUACAUAGUUUGGAACAUAUACAAUUCCUUCAAAAGUUGGAACUAAAAGUCAAUACAUGGGAUUGUUGGUCCAUAAUUGAAAUGCCAAUUGUUUUCUAAAAUAUGACAUGUUUUCUUGACAUAAUGUAGCUACAUCUAAACCAGAAGCUUCAUAUUCGAAAUACUUAAUUGUAAAUACACCACAAUCACUAUUGUUGCGUUGAAGUGGAAUGGAGUCGACAAUGACAAGUGGCCAAGGUUCCUUGUGUGUUGAUGAUCCGCCUCUCCUAACAAAGAAUCCAGUAGCAUCGAGCAAAUUUGGCACCAUCUCUUGAAUUGGCUCUAAUAUGCUUCUCAUAUCUUCGGCACUCGUCAGCGACGGAAGCGAAUCCCAUACCUUAACUUGACAACGUACCAAGUCCAAGCAUAAUAGAAUCCAAUGAUUGCCAUGGAUAUUGAAUGGAGAGUAAAUGUAAUCAACAUUCACCCAAGGAUCUUGACAGUCUUGUUUUGAUCCGACAACAUAGUCAACCUGCUUACUAAAUGUGAUAAACUACUUACUAUAGACUGAAAAUGAUGAGCAGGGUCAAUCUUGUACAUGGGACCGUUAGUUGAUGUUGAAGCCAUACUGAAACCUGCAUAAAAAAAAACUAAUUAAAUAUAAUUGCAUAAGAGACUUACUAAACAUGGAUGCACUAGCAUCUUGGGACUUCUACUCAAAAUUUUGGAAGGUGAGAGAUAGGUGCGAGAUGCUGGAAAACUUCAAGGCAAAGUUGCUAAGUCUAAUAAAAUUGCUAACCCUAAAGCCUUAACACCUAGUAGAGUAGCUAAACAUGCAUUCUAAACGGUUUAGGAAGGUUAACACUCUCAUCUUGGGACUUCUACUCAAAAUUUUGGAAGGUGAGAGAUAGGUGCUGAUAGGUGCGAGAUGCUGGAAAACUUCAAGGCAAAGUUGCUAAGUCUAAUAAAAUUGCUAACCCUAAAGCCUUAACACCUAGUAGAGUAGCUAAACAUGCAUUCUAAACGGUUUAGGAAGGUUAACACUCUCAUCUUGGGACUUCUACUCAAAAUUUUGGAAGGUGAGAGAUAGGUGCUGAUAGGUGCGAGAUGCUGGAAAACUUCAAGGCAAAGUUGCUAAGUCUAAUAAAAUUGCUAACCCUAAAGCCUUAACACCUAGUAGAGUAGCUAAACAUGCAUUCUAAACGGUUUAGGAAGUUUACACUCUUAUAUUGGGACUUCUACUCAAAAUUUUGGAAGGUGCGAGAUAGGUGCUGAUAGGUGCGAGACGAUGGAAAACUUCAAGGCAAAGUUGCUAAGUCUAAUAAAAUUGCUAGCUAAACAUGCAUUCUAAACGGUUUAGGAAGUUAACACUCUUAUAUUAGGACUUCUACUCAAAAUUUUGGAAGGUGAGAGAUGAUAGGUGCGAGAUGAUGGAAAAUUUCAAGGCAAAGUUGCUAAGUCUAAUAAAAUUGCUAACCCUAAAGCCAUAACACCUAGUAGAGUAGCUAAACAUGCAUUCUAAACGGUUUAGGAAGGUUAACACUCUCAUCUUGGGACUUCUACUCAAAAUUUUGGAAGGUGCGAGAUAGGUGCUGAUAGGUACGAGAUGAUGGAAAAAUUCAAGGCAAAGUAGCUAAGUCUAAUAAAAUUGCUAACCCUAAAGCCUUAACACCUAGUAGACUACCUAGACUAGCUAAACAUGCAUUCUAAAGAUUGUAUUCUAUUGGAACUACAUCACUAAAAACAUUAACAAAGUAGAGAACAACAAUGCAGCUUAUGAUAAUGUCUUUCAACAAAUUGCAAAGGAAAUGGUCUUUCAACAAUGCAGCUUAUGAUAUUCUAUUGUACUGGUAGCUUUGCAGAGUUUAUAUGGGGUACCAAAUAUAUGUUCGAAUUCAAGUUCUAAACUCCAAGGUAUGGUUUUUCUAUUAUUACAGUACAUUGCAAAGGAAAUGAUGGAUACGGCACUGCCAACGUAGAGGAGUGGAUAAGAAAUGGAGAGGUCCGGUGAAAACAAACCUGAAAUCGAAAUGGAUGGAAGUGGAGAAGCGUCCGCCGGAGUUGAAGUCGAAAGUAAAACAGAGACACGUGCAAUGUCAGUAGUACGACUCUCCUUCCUUGCAUUUUGAAGAUUAGUGAAUAUCCCUUCAAGGUCAUUAACACAAUUCUUUUCUUUUUCCUUCAAAACCUAAUGAGAAGUAGAUUGAUAUUUACUCUUCAAACCCUUUGGCAUUGAUCCGUCUCUUUUCUUCCACCAAAAUUAUCUUAGCAGCAACUGAAAAAAAAAGAAAUCACAAUGAAGCACCAACCCUAUAUAUAAAGUCCGUUCAGAUUGCAAAACAGAAUCUACCCAAAAGGAAAAAAAUCAUAUGGGCUUUCGAAACAAAUACAUUUCUAAUGCUACCAUUGAAUAUUCAUCCACUCCCUCUUACUCAGUUCAAAAAAUAGGAGACUGAAUUGGAAACAAGUAAAAUUGUAACCAUUAUAACGAUCAUAAAAUGAUCACAAAAUUUCACCUAAGCUAAUCCAUCCUUACCUAGGUCUCUAUUUAAAAUUUCGGCAAAAUCUUAAACAUGUUUUUCUAUCAUGUACUAAUUCACCGUGAUCUCUGUGUGCCAUCAUCAAAGAUUCGACUCUCAGUAAGCGGUCUUUUGAUUCAACCCUAAUUCACGUAUUAAAAAGGAAGAAAAACAGAAAUAAACAAAGAAUAGUUACCCACCAAAUUGCUGAAUAUUUGAGUCGAAAAUCAGAGGAAAGUUUGGAGGAAGAAGAUUAGGGGGUUUAGUUUUUUCCUUAGAGAAGUAACAAGUGUAGCUUUGGCUCUUUGUUCAGAUCUUUUCAGUUCACACCGGAGGAGCGACGAACGACAUCCGAGAAGCGAUGAUAUGCACCGAAGUAGAAGGAGAAGAAAGCGAAUGUGUGUGUGUGUGUUUUUUUUUUUUUUUUUUGCGUUUUGUUUCUGCGUUGAGGAGAAGGAAUGGAAGGUAAAAUGAAUUAAGGGUAAUUUAGACAAUUCACACAUAAUUUGUCCUAGAAAUCAACUUUUUAAAAAUCAAUCUCAUAAAUCUUUUAUUCCUCCAUUUUUGGCUUAUUUUUGUUAAUUUCCCCUAUAACUUAUAGCUUCAUUUAUUUGUUUAUUUAUGUUUUCAAAUAUUAUCUAUAAUAUAUUACAUUCCAUUUCAUAUUUAGAUAUCUAUCACUCAAACUUUAAGAUACUGUAUUUUUUAAAAAUUGAUAUGUUUUGAUCUUUAUUUUUAAAAACAUAAAAUUAAUCAUUUAACGCUAACGUCGAUUGAGAAUGAUAUUUUAGAAAGAGUUGACUAUAAAGAGUGAUGACUCACUCUUUUUAUUCACAUUUUAUUAGUUUCGUUUUCUUUUGUUAGUUAUUAUAAUUAUAAGAAACACCUGUAGACUAAUUUUCAUAUAUUACCAUUUUUCUUUAAGAAAAAAGUCCUAAGUUACUUGGUGGGUUGGUUGGAAUCUCUAACAAGAGAGACGACAAAUUUCCAUCCUUUUUUUCUCGUUCCCCCAUAAAUGAUAACUUUAUCAAGGCCUCCAUUAAUGUCAAGUUUAACAACUUCUACACUCUUUUAACUAGUGAUCUCUUCAACACAAUAACUUUAUUCAUUGUGAUGAUAUUUUUGGAAAACUUUUGAUUUAAAGGCAUCAAUCAAUGUGGAAAAAUAUUAGACCAAGAGUGAAUGAUCUAUCUUAGCUUCGUGAUUGAUCUAUCUUAGCUUCGUGAUGCGUAAGUCAUGAUCAAGGGUUAAAGAUGAAGUCAUUGAACAAGAAGUGUACGUAGAGGAAUCCAUAGCUUACAUUUAGUAUAGAAAAUCCGAGAAAUAAAACACACAAGAGAUAGUUUAAACUAACAAUUAAAAACAAACAGUGCCAAUAUGGAUCAUGCACAAGGUGUACCAAAUUGAAAGGAGCAGAGAGAUAACUAAAUUCCUUCAACAAAAUGACAAAUGUGUAGAUAAACUUAACUACUUUAAACAAACGAUUGCUUAUGAAACGGACCUUAGUUUAUUUUACAUUCAAUUAGAUACUUUCAGAAGGAAAAUUCAUUCCAUAUACUUGACAAAUAGCAAAAAGCAAUUAUCGGAACCAUUAAGAGCAACAAAUGAAAAACAAAACGCCAAAUUCAGAUGGGGAAGAAGGAAGUCCAUAAAUAAACAGUUUGAUCUGGCAAACAGUCUUGAAACAACAGUUGAAAACACACAAAGAAAGGUGGACAAGGGAAAAUACAAGGACUUUGACAAUUUACACCUAAACAAAUUAAACUUAAAAAUCAUUUUGAUACAGGAGAGACUAUAUUAUUCUAGUCAGUUUCCUGCCCCAGAUCAAAAACACAGUUUUGUAAGGGAAAAUUUAUUUGCGAAAUUUACUUCGCACCUAAGGUUGGGAACUGCCCAGGGUCUCCAAUGGAUGGGGCUGCAACAUUGCUCAUCGGGCUGCCACUGUAUCCUCCCCUUGAACCACGUCCACGACCCCUUCC
rnacentral:lncRNA from 1 species